UGCGAGACAUGGGGGAGGAGCAAAAAAAUUCCUCCUAUCACGAAGAAGCAGAAGGACCUUCUUCAGAACCUCCAGCAGAAGAAGGCUGAAAUCAGGUGUCUCCUGGAAAAUAACAAAGCAGCCAGAAAGAAGAAGCAUCAGCUGCUGAGGCAGCAUGAAGAGAUGGAGAGGAUGAGACGCUCCACACACAGGCUGAAGGAACGUCUCAAAUGUGCUGAGGCUGAAGCACCUGGGACGUCCUUGUCAGUAUUCAGCAUUCCAGCAGGGUCCUUAGUCAGCGCAGCCUCCUCUGUUAUGGACCUCCUGAGAACAUCCACCCCUCUCUCAGUGUGUGUCAGUGACACGAGUGCCACCAUGUAGCUGCUGGAGGAGACGUGAACGCUCACAUGGA